UUAAAAUAAUUUUUGAAAAAACGUAUCUUCAGGUUUUAUAAGAAAAGAAAUUUUUCACAUAAAAUGAACUUGACUUGUUAGAUGGAGGAAAUGAUAUAGAGAUACUAUUUUUUAUUUCUUAGGAAAUCUGUUAAAAUAUGAUAAUCUUAAAAUAUAUAAUGGCCUAAGGAGAGAAGAAGCCAUAAAAUGAAGGCUUGUAUUACAAUCUGUAACAGAAGUGUAAGGAGGCAUUUAUGUUUGAGAAAAGGUAUUUGUGUUCAUAAAGUCAAAUGUGCUUCCAAAAUAAGGGGCCAGCUGAUAGAGGAAAAGGCCAUGCAAAUCCCUCUCACUGCAAUCUGUGAAGUACAGUGAUGUCAUUAUGAAAUCAUGAAAUGUUGUAGCAUGCAGGUAGUGUUUCUUUCUUUCUUUCUUUUUUUAAUUAUUAUUUGUUUGCAGGUAGUGUUUCUUGACAGUGCUGUUCUGGGACUUUGGUGGUUCAAUUUGAUUGUCUCACUUUCAGACACCCUUAUAAUUAAAUUGUACCUCCUAUUGAUCAUCUUAUGGGUUCUAAUGAGAAGGGAAUUUUGAUUCAUUUUACCUCAUUCCACAGUAUUUAUGAUUUUUUCUUGGAGAACAGGUAAAUGUAGUUAGGUUGUUCUAUGGGAACAGCAGAUGGCAAGGGGAAGCUAGGCUACUGGUAUGCUCAACUGAAAAUAGGCUGGAGAAUUGAGGCUGGUCAUUAUUACUACUACUUCAUUUGAUUUACUAAGUAAGGAGGUUAAAGGUUAUUGCCAUCAAAGCUGUAACAGUAAAAAGGCUGUAACAGUAAAAGUAGUAGGGGGCUGGUCUGAAUUUUAUCACAACAGAACAGCUAGUCCUUUAUUUUACUUUGAUUCUUCUUUGUUCAAGUGUUUUCCGUACCAUGCUUUGUGGCUCUCCCAAAUUUCAGCUUCAGAUUUGACCCUCUAGAGAAGAAGUUGAAUCAGGCAAAAUUGAAUAUUGGUAGUGACUUUCUCCAAAUUAAUUAAAUUUCUAUUUGCUAAAAUUAUGUUUAAAAAGUAUUAGUUAUGAUUAGUUUCUUGGAUGUUUACAUCUGAGUCUUUCACAAAUACACACAUCAGAGUGCAAAACUAACCUUGACAGUAUUAGAGACUUAUAUAAAUUUAAUUUGACCAUCUCUGGAUAAAAGAAAAUUUAAAAUUAUAUGCAAAAAAUCUUUAAGAGUCGUUCUGAUAGUUUCUUACCUUUAGAGGAAGAGAAUUGCUUCCAUUGAAGCAAACUCUAAUGCUUUCUUUUCAGCUUGAGGUACUUAUGAAGAGACAAUUAGGACUCCCAGAAGACAGAAGAGGUGAGGCCAAGGGCUGGGAUUCCUGAAGGACUACACUGUAAGAAAGAGCCCACUGAGCAGGCACUGGGAUGCUAGGGAAAGAAAUUGACUGAUGUCUACAGGAUGAGUCAACCUGUCCAUUUGAUCAAUGAAGACUUUCUUCAGAGUGGUUGCCCUUUGAUAAGCAUCACAUGGGACACAAAUAUCCUCAUAUUUUGUGCUCGUCCCUAGGCGUCCAUUCAGGAUAAGACCACAUCUGGAAUAGCAAUUAUGAUUGGAGUCAAUUAUCUACCUAAAUUUGAUAUUCUACAGCCAUUCUCUGAGACCCAUCUGCUUCUGCCAAGCCCAGUUGGAGGUAACGGAGAACAUGGUCACUAUCUCAAGGAAGGACUGGAAGAGAAUUGUUCUCCAUUUGUCUUUGGUCCUGACGGUCAAGCCCAGUGAAAUGCAGCUGGUGGGCAUAAAUCUCAGAACCCUCUUAGUGCUGCUACAACUGCCUCGUGGGCUGGAAGAUGGUCACCUUUCCUGCUCUUACAGCUGGUGACAGGUAUUCGAUUACUGGGGUGACAGGGCAGUCCUCGAAGAAAUGUUUAUCUUUCUCUGAAAGGGACAUUCAAACACCUUUAGAAAAUCAUGACAAUAAAAGUUUCUCUGUAAGCACCACAAAAAUCAACUUUUUAAACACAGAUUGAUUCUGACAGUUUUUAUUUUACUAGAUUUCCAAGAAUUGGUAC